rnacentral:piRNA from 1 species
UGGAGUUCCUGCUGGAUUUACGGCUCC